UACAGAAAAGAAAAUCUCUCUCUCUCUCUCUCUCUCUCUCUCUCUCUCUUAACCGCCUCAACUCAUUCUCUCUCUCUGUCCUGUCGCCAUUGUUCCUUCCUCCGCCCUCUCUCCCUUAUUGCUCUGGAUGCUCUGGAUUCUUGCUCCGUUCUCCCUUCCUCCCAUUCCCUAGCACCUCCCCGACGCCGGAACCCCCCCCCCCCCCCCCCCCCCACCGGCGAAUACUCCCGCUAGGUACAGCUCGUCCCCACCCCUCAACCCUCACCUCCACCUAUACCUGGGGCAUCGGAUUGCUCCGGUCCACUCCAAAUUCGAUGAAACCUGUGACCUACUAGGGUUUUGGAUUUUUAUCUUGUGCAAUUAAUCGGCCAUGGCCGGUACCCGUAAAAGGGGAGGGAACAAGGUCGCGACCAAGCGUCAGUUGAGUUUGGGCGAUCUCGUUCUUGCCAAGGUUAAGGGCUUCCCCGCUUGGCCUGCUAAGGUUAGCCGACCUGAAGAUUGGGAUAAAACUCCCGACCCCAAAAAGAUUUUUGUUUAUUUUUUCGGAACCGAAGAGAUAGGUUUUAUUGCUCCUGCUGAUAUUCAAGUAUUCACUAGUGAGACAAAGAGUAAGUUGGUUGCUCGGUGUCAAAGUAAAAGUAAAUUAGUGAAGUGCUUUGCUCAAGCUGUGAAGGAAAUUUGUGCUGCUUUCGAUGAGUUACAUAGUAAACAAUCAAGUAGUUUGAGGGAUGACACGGAUGAGUUGCAGAAAUCUGUUGAUGGAUCAGAGGAUGAUGGGGUAGAAAAUGAUGAAAAGGUGGGAAUUGAUCCUAUGGGUUUCAUUAAAGAAAGAGCUAAUGAAGACAGCAAUGAUAAGGGCUCCAAGUUGGACCAGUGCUCGCCUGGGCAAUUUGAAGAUGAUAAUCAAGAUGCUAAGCAAUCUGCAUUGUGCCAUGGUAAUGGAAGUAUGUUUCCCACAGUUUCUUUGGACAAGAACAAAGACCCCAAUGGUGUACGGGUCAAAAAGGAUUCAGCCCCAGAUGGUCCUUCCUUUUUAAACAGGAAAAGUUCUGGAACUAAAAACGAUCAUAUUACUAAGCAAUCUGGUAAUGGAAAAAAAGCGUUUUCUAGUAGUCAUAAAUCCAAGACCGUGGUCUCAUCUAAGAGAGAAAGCUCAAGUGGUGGCCUCAGUCAUCUUGAGCAUGGUGAGAAAUCAGGAGAUCGAAGAAAAGUGGAUAUUACCUCUGGUAGCAGUCAGAAGGAAAUUUCUCGAGAUGAUCUGAAAUUGGACAAGAAACACUUUCUAGAGAACACAAGUAAUCUCGAGGAGGCUGAUGGUCCUGCGGAUGUGGAAACAUCGGAAGAGCAAGGCCAUGAAGAUCCUUUUGGGGAGAAACUUAUUGUUGUUCUUGGACUUGGAAAACCUAGUUUAGGGUGCGCUGAUGUUCGGUUACAUGCCAAAAGGUUGAUGCAUGCAGAAAUGAAUGUGGAUACAAGGUCAUCACUUCCAAAAGGCAUAAAGAAAAAAGAUGCUUCCGGUUCUAAUGUCUCGGUUGAUAAAGCAAUUAAACAGUCGGAUACUAAAAAACCCAUUGCUCGUGUUAGAGAAAGCUCGGUUUCUGAAAAGAAAACAGGUGUUUCUGGGUCUGACAAUCCUGGUGAGGAAGCUUCCCUUCCUAUAGCAAAGCGUCGUCGCUGGGCAUUGGAAGCCUUAUCUGAUGCUACCACUAGUGUUGAUGAUAGAGGGGGACCAAGAACUGAUGCCAUUUCUAGGAUUGAAAUAUCGGCCACUCGGCUGCCCAAGAAGAGGAGAGCAGUCUGCCUUUAUGAAGACGACGAUGAUGAACAGCCUAAAACUCCAGUUCAUGGGGGAACUUUGAGGAGUGUGAAAGUUCCCCUAAAUGUUGCAGAUAAUGCAAAAAGCACCGAAGCACCUGAUGGAGAUUCUGCUGUUCCAGGGAUAAGUAUGGAUGGACAGCCAAUGGAACCAUCUUCAGAACCACUGGAGGAAGCUCCUUCUCCUUCACCAAUGCGUGCCUUGGAGAAGAGAACUAAAAGGGAAACGGCUGUUCAUGCUGUAAGUAGUUCCACGGGAUCAGAAUUUGAGCGUUCGUCGUUGAAUGGGGUCAAAGCAAACUUGAUGUCCCCAAAAAAGUCUCCUGGGCUUCUCAUUGGCAAACCUAUUGCAGAGCAACACAGAUCCAUUAAGCCUCAGAUAAAGCCCUCAAAAGAUGGUACACAAAAGAAGACUUCUUCUGGGUCCCAUAAGGAAUCAAAUCCCUCUUCUAAUGAGUUAAAGCCUUUGCAAAAUCGAGCUACAUCCCAAAGAAACAGGCCAGAAUCCUCUAUUGAAAGGUUGAAAGGUACCCCGAGGGCAAUGUCACGACCAUAUGGAUCUACAAUGGCAGAAAAUGCUGCGGACUUCAAACGUUCACGAUCUGAAAGACUCGACAUUACUGUGGAGGAUAAUGAUAUUUUGUCGAGCACCUCCUCAAAUCAGGAUCCUGCUAUGACCAUGAAGCAUCUUAUUGCUGCUGCUCAGGCAAAACGGAGACAAACUCAGGCACUUAAUUUUUCUGUUGGGACAUUGAGCUUUCCUGCACUAUUGAGCACUGGUACUCAAGGAAUGAGCCCGAGCCCCACUUCUGGUCUGCACAUGCUGCCUGGUCCCAGUAGUCUCUUGCAAGCAGAACUGCAGGGAUCAAGCAACAAAAUGAACUUAGCUUCUCCAUCUGCCUGUACUGGAUCACAAAAUCAACAUGAUGCUGAAGAUUUGGAGGAGAGAAGGGCUAAUUCUGGUUCCAGGCCUGCUGGGGGAUCAUUAAGUGGCGGAACUGAGGCAGCUGUUGCUCGUGAUGCGUUUGAGGGAAUGAUAGAGACCUUAUCAAGGACUAAAGAUAGUAUUGGACGUGCCACUCGUCAUGCUAUUGAUUGUGCCAAGUUUGGCAUUGCCCAUGAGGUUGUUGAACUUCUGAUUCGGAAAUUGGAAAAUGAGUCAAGUUUCCAUCGAAAAGUGGACCUAUUUUUUCUUGUUGAUUCGAUCACCCAAUGUUCUCAUAGCCAGAAAGGUAUUGCUGGAGCGUCGUACAUUCCCAUUGUUCAAUCAGCUUUACCACGUCUCCUUGGUGCUGCUGCCCCUGCUGGAGUUGGUGCCCGUGAAAACCGGCGCCAGUGUCUCAAGGUUUUGCGUUUGUGGCUUGAGAGGAAAAUAUUGCCUGAAUCUGUUCUUCGGCACUAUAUGGAUGAAAUUGGAGUAUCGAAUGAUGAUGCAACUAGUGGAUCUUCCUUGCGACGUCCUUCUCGAGCUGAACGUGCUGUGGAUGAUCCAAUUAGAGAAAUGGAAGGCAUGCUUGUUGAUGAGUAUGGAAGCAAUGCGACGUUUCAGUUGCCGGGGUUUCUACCUUCUCACGUCUUUGAAGAUGAUGAUGAAGAUGAGGAUCAUGAAGAUCUUCCUAUCAUUCCCACCAAGGGGGGUCGUGUUGAUACUUCAACUGAAGAGUCAGCUCAUGUUUCAGGGGAGGCAAGAGCAUCUGAUGCCACUCCCAGUGACAGGCGCCAUUGUAUUCUGCAGGAUGUUGAUGGCGAGCUGGAAAUGGAGGAUGUCUCGGGACAUCCUAAGGAUGAAAGGUCUUUGAACAUGCAUGAUGUUGAUUUGGUGUCACAGUCUCAGGAAGCUGAUGAGAUUCGUGAACCUGCCUCUGCAAAUUUCGAGGAAGCUCCUCCAAUACCUGAGGGCUCACCACCGUUACCACUUGAUUCCCCUCCUCUGCCGCCACCUUUGCCACCUUCACCACCACCUCCGCCACCCCCCCCUCUGUCUCCGUCUCCACCGCCACCUCCACCUCCGCCGCCGCCACCUCUUCCCUCGCAGCCACCUCUCCCUCCAGCGCCUUCCUCAGGACCUCCACCUUUCAUUAGCACGACAGUGGCACCCCCCCAACAUCCAUUGGCAUCUCAAUCAGCAGUCACAGCUCAAUCAACAUUUCAGUCUUCCCCUCAGUUGAUAUAUCAACCACCAGUCGCUUGCGAGUAUUCUGGUCCAUCAAAUGGCAAUCAAGCUGUGCAGAUGGCUUCGCAGAAUCUUCAUGGGGUUCAUGCUGAUACUUCUGGAAAGAGUGAGUUGUUAAUGCAGCAACCACCUUUGUUUGUCCCAGUGGGAGUUAAUUCUCAAGAGCCUUCGGGAUUUAAUCCUUCGAGGCAAUCUGAUUUUGGGCAUAGUGGCCAAUAUUUGAGCUCCCAAGCUUCCCAACCCCACCAACAAUAUCAGCAAAGUAAUACGCCUUAUGCCAAGAGGCCACCACAUAUUAUUUCAACCCAAAAUGUGUCAAGCCAGUAUUCCUAUACAAAAGCACCCAUUCCUCAGCGUCCUCAUGCUCAUCAGUAUUCAUAUCCACCUCCAGAUACCCGGAGGCAGUUUGCUUCUGAUGAGUCAUGGAGGUCAACUACUGAAUUUCAUGCUGAUAAACAGAGCGGUUCAUGGAUGAACGGAACAAGAAGUUCUUCCGCUCCAAGUGGAGCAUAUUCUCAAGAAGGUUACUUUCGGCCGCACUUUGAAAGGCCUCAGUCAAAAAGCUUGUCUUUUCACCCCUCAUCAAUGAACAAUCCUCCUCCUCCUCCUCCUCCUCCUGUUCCAGGUCAUUCCGGUGCACGCAUGAUGCCAUCUAGACCAGAUAUAUCUUCAUUAAAUUGCUGGCGACCAGCUUAAGGACUGUAGAUUCUCUGGAGGAGAUUCCUAUUGUCAUUCCGUUGGGAGUUGUCAUCGAUGGAACAUGUCGGGACAGUUGACAGGACUGUGUACAUUGUAGAUUUUUCCUGACAAAUGUAUCCCUUGGAAGAUUUGCCUGCAAUAUAUAGGACCCCCCACCUUCUUUUUCCUGGAAGAUGUCCAAAUUCAAUUCCAACUGCAACUGAUAAAACUCACUCAUCUCGUCAUCAUCUUCUUGGGCCAUUGCAGCUGCCUAUGGAGCUACGUCAUGUUACGGCUCAUAAUGAGAUCAAUACAUCUGCUAGAGCAAUGCAUUUACUUUUCUUUUUUUUUUUUGUUCCCCCAAGUGUAUAUAUAAUGUUAUAGCGUAUCAAUCAAAUGUACAAACUACGUUGUAAAAUUUUCCACAAGUUUCUCUUUUCUCCCAUGCAAAAGAAACA